AGGCUUCGGCAGAGCUGCGCCGCCGAGGCUGAGCGGUCCCUUCUCGCUGCGGCCGCCCAGGUGCCCGCGCCCGUGGCGCUAUGGAGGCGGCGCUGCUGGGGCUGUGUAACUGGAGCACGCUGGGCGUGUGCGCCGCGCUGAAGCUGCCGCAGAUCUCCGCUGUGCUAGCGGCGCGCAGCGCGCGGGGCCUCAGCCUUCCGAGUUUACUUCUGGAGCUGGCAGGAUUCCUGGUGUUUCUGCGGUACCAGUGUUACUAUGGGUAUCCGCCGCUGACCUACCUGGAGUACCCCAUCCUCAUCGCGCAAGAUGUCAUCCUCCUGCUCUGUAUCUUUCAUUUUAACGGGAACGUGAAGCAGGCCACUCCUUACAUCGCUGUAUUGGUGUCUUCUUGGUUCAUCCUUGCCCUGCAGAAGUGGAUCAUAGACCUGGCCAUGAAUCUAUGUACUUUCAUCAGCGCGGCCAGUAAGUUUGCACAGCUCCAGUGUCUGUGGAAGACGAGAGACUCAGGAACUGUGAGUGCGCUGACUUGGAGCCUCUCUUCCUAUACCUGUGCAAGGUCUCGCUCUCUCUCACAGGCUGGAGUGCAGUGAUACGAUCUUCACUCACUGCGGGUUUCCAAGUAGCUGGGACAAGAAUAAUCACAACCUUAAUGACCACCAAUGAUUUUACAAUUCUUCUACGUUUUGUGAUCAUGCUGGCUUUAAAUAUAUGGGUAACAGUGACAGUACUUCGCUACCGGAAGACCGCUAUAAAGGCUGAAUGAUGGAUACAUUAUUCCUUCACACAGUGGAUUUUGAGUAACUGAACCAAAGGAAAAAGAAGCUCUUUGCUAAAUUAAGGUCUUUUAUAAAUUUAGUAAAUCAGUUUAUAAUCUUUAAAGCCAAAGGUUUUUUUAGACUUGAAAGAAAGAGCCACUUAAAUUCUUGUUUAAAAAUACCAAUUUGCCUCCUCCUUCCUCACUUCGUUAGGUUAUGGUAGUGCUCAGACAUCUGCAGUGUUGAGGCCAGUCACUGUUGGAAGUCAUCCAAGAAGCCCAUUUUGAGGCCAUUUUGAGCCUUACUCUUAAGUUCUCUAUGAAGAACUACAUUGAUUUGUUGGCUUUCAGAAUCUUUUAGGAAAUAAAUCCUCUCCAGGACAAAAAUGAACAUGAAUGGAGUGGCAUUUUGUUCCAAGUCAGAGGUGGGCACCUAUAAUAAAUGACUAGGGUUCACUUUCUGGGACUGAUGUUUAAUUGUAACACAGAUACAACAGGGUGGCCUUGUUGUGUAUAAUACGGUAUUAUACCCGCAUGUGCUCUAGCAAGGAUACCAAGGCAAGCAUACAUGUAGCUGGCUUGAGUUUGUACCAAAACAGUCCUUCAACUUUGCACUGUGCCUUAAGUAAUUACUAACAAAAGGUACUAGGAUUAGCUGCAAUCUCUACUUUCGAUGAGGAAAUCCCAGUAAGCUUUCUGAUUCAAGUACAAUGCUGCCAUUUUUUAAAGGGCCACAACUAUAGAAUUACCACUGUUGGAAUUUGGUACAAAAUAUGUUUUGUCUAUUGAAAACAUACACGGUAAAUGGUGUUGUUAGGUAGGUUCUGUCCAGUUCUUAGGGACUUUUUUCACAUUAUAGCAUUUUUACCCUAAACAUGAUGUUGAGAUUAUUAUAUACUGUAUUUUCUUCUAAAUUAACCCUAAUGUUUAAAAACUCACUUUCCCCCUUUAAUUGAAGGCAUUGUUUUGUUAGAUGCAGUAAUGAUGUUUACCAGAGAUUAUUGUUUCCUAUGCAAAAUAAAUUUUCAUAUUUUGAA